UUGAGAGUUUGAUCCUGGCUCAGGAUGAACGCUGGCGGUGUGCCUUAGGCAUGCAAGUCGGACGGGAUUUACACCUUCGGGUGUAAUGAGAGUGGCAGACGGGUGAGUAACGCGUAGAUAUCUACCUUAUAGUAAGGAAUAGCUCAUCGAAAGGUGGGGUAAUACCAUAUAGUUCCCUCAGGGGUAAAGGCUUCGGCCGCUAUAAGAGGAGUCUGCGUCCUAUCAGGCAGUUGGUGGGGUAAUGGCCUACCAAACCUAUGACGGGUAGCCGGUGUGAGAGCACGACCGGCCACAAGGUCACUGAGACACGGGACCUACAUCUACGGAUGGCAGCAACCGGGAAUUUUGCGCAAUGGGCGAAAGCCUGACGCAGCGACACCGCGUGUGGGAAGAAGUUCUUCGGAAUGUAAACUACUGUGGCGAGGGAAGAAGUAUGACUGUACCUCGCUAGAAAGCACCUGCUAACUACGUGCCAGAAGCCUCGGUAAUACGUAGGGUGCAAGCGUUAUCCGGAUUUACUGGGCGUAAAGAGUUCCGUCGGCGUCUUUAUAAGUUGCUUGUUUAAUCCUGUGGCUCAACCUCAGACCAGCAAGCAAAACUAUAAGGAUUGAGUCUGUUUGGAGAAGCUAGAAUUCUUGGUGGAGGGGUGAAAUCCGUAGAUAUCAAGAGGAAUACCAGUCGCGAAGGCGGGCUUCUAAAACAGCACUGACGCUCAGGGACGAAAGCUUGGGUAGCAAAAGGGAUUAGAGACCCCUGUAGUCCAAGCCGUAAACACUGUUCGCUAGUUGCCUGCUUUUCUUUGCAUAUUUUUAAUGCAAGUUAAAGAGUAUGCAGGGAAAAGUGGGUGACGUAAGGUAACCCGUUAAGCGAACCGCCUGGGGAGUACGACCGCAAGGUUAAAACUCAAAGGAAUUGAC
rnacentral:rRNA from 1 species